AGAGUUUGAUCCUGGCUCAGGACGAACGCUGGCGGCACGCUUAACACAUGCAAGUCGAACGAGAGAAGAGGAGCUUGCUUUUCUGAUCUAGUGGCGGACGGGUGAGUAACACGUGAGCAAUCUGCCUUUCAGAGGGGGAUACCGAUUGGAAACGAUCGUUAAUACCGCAUAACAUAACUGAACCGCAUGAUUUGAUUAUCAAAGAUUUAUCGCUGAAAGAUGAGCUCGCGUCUGAUUAGCUAGUUGGUAAGGUAACGGCUUACCAAGGCGACGAUCAGUAGCCGGACUGAGAGGUUGAUCGGCCACAUUGGGACUGAGACACGGCCCAGACUCCUACGGGAGGCAGCAGUGGGGAAUAUUGCACAAUGGAGGAAACUCUGAUGCAGCGAUGCCGCGUGAGGGAAGAAGGUUUUAGGAUUGUAAACCUCUGUCUUCAGGGACGAAAAAAGACGGUACCUGAGGAGGAAGCUCCGGCUAACUACGUGCCAGCAGCCGCGGUAAUACGUAGGGAGCGAGCGUUGUCCGGAAUUACUGGGUGUAAAGGGAGCGUAGGCGGGAUCGCAAGUCAGAUGUGAAAACUAUGGGCUUAACCCAUAAACUGCAUUUGAAACUGUGGUUCUUGAGUGAAGUAGAGGUAAGCGGAAUUCCUAGUGUAGCGGUGAAAUGCGUAGAUAUUAGGAGGAGCAUCAGUGGCGAAGGCGGCUUACUGGGCUUUAACUGACGCUGAGGCUCGAAAGCGUGGGGAGCAAACAGGAUUAGAUACCCUGGUAGUCCACGCCGUAAACGAUGAUUACUAGGUGUGGGGGGACUGACCCCUUCCGUGCCGCAGCAAACGCAAUAAGUAAUCCACCUGGGGAGUACGACCGCAAGGUUGAAACUCAAAGGAGUUGACGGGGGCCCGCACAAGCAGUGGAGUAUGUGGAUUAAUUCGAAGCAACGCGAAGAACCUUACCAGGUCUUGACAUCGUAUGCAUAGCUCAGAGAUGAGUGAAAUCUCUUCGGAGACAUAUAGACAGGUGGUGCAUGGUUGUCGUCAGCUCGUGUCGUGAGAUGUUGGGUUAAGUCCCGCAACGAGCGCAACCCUUACUGUUAGUUGCUACGCAAGAGCACUCUAGCAGGACUGCCGUUGACAAAACGGAGGAAGGUGGGGAUGACGUCAAAUCAUCAUGCCCCUUAUGACCUGGGCCUCACACGUACUACAAUGGCUGUCAACAGAGGGAAGCAAAGCCGCGAGGUGGAGCGAACCCCUAAAAGCAGUCUUAGUUCGGAUUGUAGGCUGCAACCCGCCUACAUGAAGUCGGAAUUGCUAGUAAUCGCAGAUCAGCAUGCUGCGGUGAAUACGUUCCCGGGCCUUGUACACACCGCCCGUCACGCCAUGGGAGUCGGUAACACCCGAAGCCUGUAGUCUAACCGCAAGGAGGACGCAGUCGAAGGUGGGAUUGAUGACUGGGGUGAAGUCGUAACAAGGUA
rnacentral:rRNA from 1 species